UGCACAACAAGGUCAAAUCAACGCUGUAAUCUACCUAAUUUAAAAUUUUUAGUUAAACUAAAAUUUGACCUUAAUAAUGUCCUUAGUAUGGCACUAUUCCAAUGCAACAUAAUUUGAACACAAACAUAUCGCGGAGAUAAAAAAUCAUAAAAUGUAGCACACUUGUAAGGAAGGAAGCCCAUGCUUAUCAUGCUCGUCUAACACAGAAAUAUUUGCCACAAACAGGCACCUUCCUACUCUAAGAUAAAACAGAAGGGAGGAAGGAGGGGAUGGAGGAUUACAAUCGUGUUAUGUUCUUUUCGGGAUGAUUGCGAAAGCAAGUUUGUAACAUGCAUUCAUUACUUUCUGAUAAAGCAGAUACGACAUUAUGAAUUAAUUUUUUUCCUUAUUGCUUGUGAGGGAAAAGUGAAGAUUUGAGGUCUCAACCCACCCACAGUGCAGCACUUCUGCCUCUGUGUGCUAUAAUGGCUUUGACAAAAAAGAAUACAUUCUUAAAUUUUCUAAAUAAUAGUGUGAGGUGCAAAAAGGAGAAACAAUACCUCUAGAGGAAGUUCAUGGGCAAGCAAAAAAAGAGUUCUUGACCAUCCACCAACAGAUCCAUAAAGGAGAAAAGCACUUCCCAAAGCCAUCCCAUCAGUAAAAUUGUGCAGCAGGGUCACAUAUAUUACUUCCAAAUAUAUCAUUUUGGAAGUCAAAUUUAUCAUUUAUGAUUCUUAUAACUAAAAUAAUAAUGAUAAUAGAAAUAGAAGGUAUAUAAAAAUAAUUAACUCGAUCAAAUAUAUCAUUUUGGAAGUCAAAUUUAUCAUUUAUGAUUCUUAUAACUAAAAUAAUAAUGAUAAUAGAAAUAGAAGGUAUAUAAAAAUAAUUAACUCGAUCAAAUAUAUCAUUUUUUUUUAGCUACUUACGAUGUUCUAGUUAAUUAAACCCUUCAAAGGCUAAGAUAAAAAAAGGGAUUUACAAAAUUGAGUUCUAUGAAGCCAUGUUUAAUACUGUAAGUAAGUAAACAUUAUAUAAAUUAGAUUUGCUCCUCUUAAAUGUAUUCUGAUGGCAAUGAUUAAUAGUAAAUUUAACUUGUAAAAAAUUUCAGUCUGUACCCUCCGAUCAAAUUUGUUAGAAAAUGAAAAGAGAUGCUAGCGGUUACCUCAGAUAUCUUGCUUGCUUACCGAAAAUAAUUUUUGUUUCAAGGAUGACAUUAUUUCAAGAUAAAAACUCUUUCAUAUUACACACAUUUUCUAUAUAUACCAAUAUAUUUUGGAAAUCUCGCAAAUUUAGUUGUUAUAUCAUGAUUCACAUUAUUAUGAAAUUUAGAACUAAAUGUCAACCGAAAAUGUAAUACAAUAAAUUACAAUCAAAAUGCAAGGACACCUAUACGUAAAUGCAAAGAUUCCAUUAGAGAAAAAUAAAAAGUUCAAAGAACAUAC
rnacentral:lncRNA from 1 species